AUUGAACGCUGGCGGCAUGCCUUACACAUGCAAGUCGAACGGCAGCACGGGAGCAAUCCUGGUGGCGAGUGGCGAACGGGUGAGUAAUAUAUCGGAACGUGCCCGGUCGUGGGGGAUAACGUAGCGAAAGCUACGCUAAUACCGCAUACGAUCUACGGAUGAAAGCGGGGGGAUCGCAAGACCUCGCGCGAUUGGAGCGGCCGAUAUCAGAUUAGGUAGUUGGUGAGGUAAAGGCUCACCAAGCCGACGAUCUGUAGCUGGUCUGAGAGGACGACCAGCCACACUGGGACUGAGACACGGCCCAGACUCCUACGGGAGGCAGCAGUGGGGAAUUUUGGACAAUGGGCGCAAGCCUGAUCCAGCAAUGCCGCGUGCAGGAUGAAGGCCUCGGUGUAACG
rnacentral:rRNA from 1 species